GCCUCUUCGGCUCCUGGGAGGAGCGCCCGCCUUGUACGCGGGAGGGCCGGGUUCGAACCCCGGAUGAGGUC
rnacentral:tRNA from 3 species